rnacentral:rRNA from 1 species
CGAGCACGCGCGUGUGGCAUAUCAAUAAGCGGAGGAAAAGAAACUAACAAGGAUUCCCUUAGUAACGGCGAGUGAAGCGGGAAGAGCUCAAAUUUGAAAUCUUCAAGGUUCUACCUUGACGAAUUGUAGUUUAUAGAAGUGUUUUCUGUUAGUGGAGUGGCAAAAGUUCUUUGGAAUAGGACAUCAUAGAGGGUGAGAAUCCCGUAUUUGGUCAUUCCUUCCUAGCGUUGUGAUACACUUUCAACGAGUCGGAUUGUUUGGGAAUGCAGUCCAAAAUGGGUGGUAAAUUUCAUCUAAAGCUAAAUAUUGGCGAGAGACCGAUAGCGAACAAGUACCGUGAGGGAAAGAUGAAAAGAACUUUGAAAAGAGAGUUAAACAGUACGUGAAAUUGUCAAAAGGGAAGCGUUUGACACCAGUGUUGUUUUUCCGAAAAUCAAUUACGAAUGUUUUAGUUUUUGAGGAGUUAUGACUUCAUCGGCUUGCUCCUUUCUAUAUGAAACUUUCUUAAUGCACUUUUCGGUUAACAAGUCAACAUCAAUUUCUUUUGUUGUAAAAGGGUAUGAGGAAGGUGGCUUUCUUUUCGGAGAAAGUGUUUAUAGCCUUGUGCCUCUACAAUCGGAGAGAUUGAGGUCUGCAGCGUAGAUCCUUCGGGGUUAGAUACGUUUGUGCUAAGUUAUAGCUUUUCAUAGACAACUUGUUGACUAUGUUUAGUCUUGUAGCUUACUCGCUAGACGCUAUUUUACCUACGCUUAGGAUGUUGAACUCUAUCACACACAG